AGCAGCCGCGGUAAUUCCAGCUCCAAUAGCGUAUAUUAAAGUUGUUGCAGUUAAAAAGCUCGUAGUUGAAUUUCGGGGUUAGUAGGUUGGUCAUGCCUCUGGUAUGUACUGGUCUCACUGAUUUCUCCUUCCUGAUGAACCUUAAUGCCAUUAAUUUGGUGUUUUGGGGAAUUUGGACUGUUACUUUGAAAAAAUUAGAGUGUUUAAAGCAAGCUAACGCUUGAAUACAUUAGCAUGGAAUAAUGAAAUAGGACGUUCGAUCCUAUUUUGUUGGUUUCUAGGAUUGACGUAAUGAUUAAUAGGGAUAGUUGGGGGCAUUAGUAUUCAAUUGUCAGAGGUGAAAUUCUUGGAUUUAUUGAAGACUAACUACUGCGAAAGCAUUUGCCAAGGAUGUUUUCAUUAAUCAAGAACGAAAGUUAGGGGAUCGAAGACGAUCAGAUACCGUCGUAGUCUUAACCAUAAACUAUGCCGACUAGGGAUCGGAUGAUGUUAAUUUUUUAAUGACUCAUUCGGCGCCUUACG
rnacentral:rRNA from 1 species